rnacentral:sRNA from 1 species
UACCGGUCCACUCCCGAAUAUUCCGAAGC